AGCUGCGGCGCGCCUAACACAUGCAAGUCGAAACGAGAGAUGAAGAGCUUGCUCUUCAGAUCGAGUGGCGAACGGGUGAGUAACGCGUGAGGAACCUGCCUCAAAGAGGGGGGACAACAGUUGGAAACGACUGCUAAUACCGCAUGACACAUCGGAAGGGCAUCCUUCUGAUGUCAAAGAUUUUAUCGCUGAGAGAUGGCCUCGCGUCUGAUUAGCUGGUUGGUGAGGUAACGGCCCACCAAGGCGACGAUCAGUAGCCGACCUGAGAGGGUGACCGGCCACAUUGGGACUGAGACACGGCCCAGACUCCUAUGGGAGGCAGCAGUGGGGGAUAUUGGACAAUGGGGGAAACCCUGAUCCAGCGAUGCCGCGUGAGGGAAGAAGGUUUUCGGAUUGUAAACCUCUGUGGACAGGGACGAUAAUGACGGUACCUGUUUAGAAAGCCACGGCUAACUACGUG
rnacentral:rRNA from 1 species